rnacentral:rRNA from 1 species
AGAGUUUGAUCAUGGCUCAGGACGAACGCUGGCGGCGUGCUUAACACAUGCAAGUCGAACGGAAAGGCCCUUCGGGGUACUCGAGUGGCGAACGGGUGAGUAACACGUGGGUGAUCUGCCCUGCACUUUGGGAUAAGCCUGGGAAACUGGGUCUAAUACCGAAUGGGACCACGCGCUUCAUGGUGUGUGGUGGAAAGCUUUUGCGGUGUGGGAUGGGCCCGCGGCCUAUCAGCUUGUUGGUGGGGUAAUGGCCUACCGAGGCGACGACGGGUAGCCGGCCUGAGAGGGUGACCGGCCACACUGGGACUGAGAUACGGCCCAGACUCCUACGGGAGGCAGCAGUGGGGAAUAUUGCACAAUGGGCGCAAGCCUGAUGCAGCGACGCCGCGUGAGGGAUGACGGCCUUCGGGUUGUAAACCUCUUUCAAUAGGGACGAAGCGCAAGUGACGGUACCUAUAGAAGAAGCACCGGCCAACUACGUGCCAGCAGCCGCGGUAAUACGUAGGGUGCGAGCGUUGUCCGGAAUUACUGGGCGUAAAGAGCUCGUAGGUGGUUUGUCGCGUUGUUCGUGAAAACUCACAGCUUAACUGUGGGCGUGCGGGCGAUACGGGCAGACUAGAGUACUGCAGGGGAGACUGGAAUUCCUGGUGUAGCGGUGGAAUGCGCAGAUAUCAGGAGGAACACCGGUGGCGAAGGCGGGUCUCUGGGCAGUAACUGACGCUGAGGAGCGAAAGCGUGGGGAGCGAACAGGAUUAGAUACCCUGGUAGUCC